CGGGGUUGCGGACAGUGUCUGGUGGGUAGUUUGACUGGGGCGGUCUCCUCCCAAAGCGUAACGGAGGAGCACGAAGGUUAGCUAAUCCUGGUCGGACAUCAGGAGGUUAGUGCAAUGGCAUAAGCUAGCUUGACUGCGAGCGUGACGGCGCGAGCAGGUGCGAAAGCAGGUCAUAGUGAUCCGGUGGUUCUGAAUGGAAGGGCCAUCGCUCAACGGAUAAAAGGUACUCCGGGGAUAACAGGCUGAUACCGCCCAAGAGUUCAUAUCGACGGCGGUGUUUGGCACCUCGAUGUCGGCUCAUCACAUCCUGGGGCUGAAGUAGGUCCCAAGGGUAUGGCUGUUCGCCAUUUAAAGUGGUACGCGAGCUGGGUUUAGAACGUCGUGAGACAGUUCGGUCCCUAUCUGCCGUGGGCGCUGGAGAAUUGAGGGGGGCUGCUCCUAGUACGAGAGGACCGGAGUGGACGCAUCACUGGUGUUCGGGUUGUCAUGCCAAUGGCACUGCCCGGUAGCUAAAUGCGGAAGAGAUAAGUGCUGAAAGCAUCUAAGCACGAAACUUGCCCCGAGAUGAGUUCUCCCUGAGACUUUAAGUCUCCUGAAGGAACGUUGAAGACGACGACGUUGAUAGGCCGGGUGUGUAAGCGCAGCGAUGCGUUGAGCUAACCGGUACUAAUGAACCGUGAGGCUUAACCUU
rnacentral:rRNA from 4 species